UAGGGGGUGUCAACGAGCUGGCAAACUAUGGGGAGUACUCAGGCGCCCCCAGCGAGCAGCAGACCUAUGACUAUGCCAAGACUAUCCUCUCCCUCAUGACCCGAGAGAAGCACCCAGAUGGCAAGAUCCUCAUCAUUGGAGGCAGCAUCGCAAACUUCACCAACGUGGCUGCCACGUUCAAGGUAACAGUUGCAACAGUGGUGCAGUUUCUGGGGAAAGUGGUUUGGGGAAAGCAGGGAAGGGGCCUUGAAAGCAGAGUUUGAGCCAGAGCCAAGUUACCAUGAGUUCCCAGGUCAGGUAGGGAGCUCUUGCCCCAGGGUCUCUUAAAGGGGUGGAGAAGACACUGGGACAGGAGCUGCCCAUCUGCGCUGUGUGUCUCUGGGCAAGCAGCUGCUACGCUGAACUAUAACUCUCCCACCUGAAGCAUGGGAGGCGAAUUUCUGCUUUCUUCCUUCUCAGGACCAAUGCUUU
rnacentral:lncRNA from 1 species